UACGGAGGGUGCAAGCGUUAUCCGGAAUCACUGGGUUUAAAGGGUGCGUAGGCGGCUUGAUAAGUCAGAGGUGAAAGCUAGCAGCUUAACUGUUAAAUUGCCUUUGAUACUGUCAGACUUGAAUCAAGUUGUGGUAGGCGGAAUGUGACAUGUAGCGGUGGAAUGCAUAGAUAUGUCAUAGAACACCAAUUGCGUAGGCAGCUUGCUGGGCUUGAAUUGACGCUGAGGCACGAAAGCGUGGGGAUCAAACAGGAUUAGAUACCCUGGUAGUCCACGCCCUAAACGAUGUUAACUCGAUAUUUAUUCUUCGGAGUGAGUGUCCAAGCGAAAGCGUUAAGUUAACCACCUGGGGAGUACGUUCGCAAGAAUGAA
rnacentral:rRNA from 1 species